GUUUACGAACAUCAAUACGCGUUGGAGUUUCAACCCUCCAAAUGCGCCCCACAUGGGCGGAGUGUGGGAGCGAUUAGUGCGCUCCGUCAAAGAAGCAAUUGGAACAAUCAUUGACGCACCCAGAAAACCCGACGACGAGACUCUAGCAACCAUUCUCCUGGAUGCGGAGUCUAUGAUUAACUCGAGACCGCUUACAUAUAUGCCGCUUGUAAGUGCUGAUGAAGAAUCAUUGACCCCUAACCAUUUUUUAUUGGGGAGCUCGUCAGGAGUUAAACAGCCACCUUCAGCCCCGGUUGACUAUCGGACCAAUCUACGCAGCAGCUGGACCCUCGCUCAACACAUAACUGACACAAUCUGGAAGAGGUGGAUCAAAGAAUAUUUGCCAGUUAUUCGACGCCGAGGCAAAUGGCUAGAAGAGGUAUGAGAUAUUCGAGAUGGUGAUUUGGUGAUCAUUGUGGGCGGGCCGGUGCGCAACCAGUAUGUAAGGGCGAAGGUCGAGAAGGUAUUCAUCGGACGGGAUGGACGAGUUCGUCAGGCACUAGUGCGAACAGCAACCGGAGUGUACAAAAGGCCGGUAGUGAAACUAGCCUUGCUGGAUGUUGAAUCCGUUGGUGAAGCUGAUAAGGAGUCUGCAGAUCAUCACCAGGCUUCACGGGAGGGAGAUUGUUACAACGCGUUAUUGGAAGACCCCCCGGCCGGAGCUAAAGAGGUCAGCGCUCGACUAUCAGCGUGAAUAUAACGGUCUGCGAGGCGUCUGUCAUCUGAACGUGUCUGAGUCAUGCUUGUUUGUUAUGCUUUAUUGGUGAGACUUAUGAGAUUUGUAGUUGAAUUCGCAAAUAGUUACGUUUUUUGAAGUUUAUUUGAUCCCUGAUAAUUUAAUUGCGAAACAGUCUAGGAUACACCGUUCUGGUUAUUGAUUCAACUAUACACAUCCCGCGAAACAACGUCGGCCGUAAUUGAAUUAUAAGUAGCGACGACUGAAGCUGGAAUACUUUAAGCAAAGAGGAACCGAGAGAUAGCAUAAUCUAAGCUAGGGCGAAUACCAAGAUUGUAAGUAGGCAUUACAAUAUGAAGAGAAAAUUCCGAACUAAUUACAUGUUAUUGAUUACAG